UACGGGGGGGGCAAGCGUUGUUCGGAGUUACUGGGCGUAAAGGGCUCGUAGGCGGCCAACUAAGUCGGAUGUGAAAUCCCCAGGCUCAACUUGGGAACUGCAUCCGAUACUGGAUGGCUUGAAUCCGGGAGAGGGAUGCAGAAUUCCAGGUGUAGCGGUGAAAUGCGUAGAUAUCUGGAGGAAUACCGGUGGCGAAGGCGGCAUCCUGGACCGGCAUUGACGCUGAUGAGCGAAAGCUAGGGGAGCAAACGGG
rnacentral:rRNA from 1 species